rnacentral:rRNA from 1 species
CUACGGGCUGCACCAGUGGGGAAUCUUAGACAAUGGGCGCAAGCCUGAUCUAGCCAUGCCGCGUGAGUGACGAAGGCCUUAGGGUCGUAAAGCUCUUUCGCUGGGGAAGAUAAUGACGGUACCCAGUAAAGAAACCCCGGCUAACUCCGUGCCAGCAGCCGCAGUAAUACGGAGGGGGUUAGCGUUGUUCGGAAUUACUGGGCGUAAAGCGCGCGUAGGCGGAUCAGAAAGUUGGGGGUGAAAUCCCGGGGCUCAACCCCGGAACUGCCUUCAAAACUCCUGGUCUUGAGUUCGAGAGAGGUGAGUGGAAUUCCGAGUGUAGAGGUGAAAUUCGUAGAUAUUCGGAGGAACACCAGUGGCGAAGGCGGCUCACUGGCUCGAUACUGACGCUGAGGUGCGAAAGCGUGGGGAGCAAGCAGGAUUAGAUACCCUAGUAGUC